rnacentral:rRNA from 1 species
UAAUACGGAGGGUGCAAGCGUUAAUCGGAAUCACUGGGCGUAAAGCGCACGUAGGCUGUUUGGUAAGUCAGGGGUGAAAUCCCGCGGCUCAACCGCGGAAUUGCCCUUGAUACUGCUGGACUUGAGUUCGGGAGAGGGUGGCGGAAUUCCAGGUGUAGGAGUGAAAUCCGUAGAUAUCUGGAGGAACAUCAGUGGCGAAGGCGGCCACCUGGACCGAUACUGACGCUGAGGUGCGAAAGCGUGGGGAGCAAACAGG